GUCGGGAAUUUUGGGCAAUGGGCGAAAGCCUGACCCAGCAACGCCGCGUGAAGGAUGAAGUAUUUCGGUAUGUAAACUUCGAAAGAAUGGGAAGAAUCAAUGACGGUACCAUUUAUAAGGUCCGGCUAACUACGUGCCAGCAGCCGCGGUAAUACGUAGGGACCAAGCGUUGUUCGGAUUUACUGGGCGUAAAGGGCGCGUAGGCGGCAGUUCAAGUCAGCUGUGAAAUCUCCGAGCUUAACUCGGAACGGUCAGCUGAUACUGUUUUGCUAGAGUGCAGAAGGGGCAAUCGGAAUUCUUGGUGUAGCGGUGAAAUGCGUAGAUAUCAAGAGGAACACCUGAGGUGAAGACGGGUUGCUGGGCUGACACUGACGCUGAGGCGCGAAAGCUAGGGUAGCAAACGGGAUUAGAAACCCCAGUAGUCC
rnacentral:rRNA from 1 species